rnacentral:piRNA from 1 species
ACAGAUGGGAAUCUCUCUGAAUA